GCUGGGAAAAAAAAAAACGAUGAUUUACUGUGACUUUUUGUUGGCUUUCACAUUGGUUCCUCUUUGCUGAUAGUUACUCCUUCAAUUUCUUUUUCUUGUCUUAUUAUGAGAUAGGUUUUCUUAUACUAUAUUCAAAUAAAUAAGAUAUCCUUGCUUUGCCUCAACCUUCGUGGAGAGUAAUAGUUUAUCUCUAUUUCAUAUAAUGUUGGCUCUUGUUUUUUUAUAUAUAAUUAACUAUGAAAAAUCCCAUUUCUGCCUUUUCAAAGUGUUUGUUUUUUUAAAAAUGGAAAUGGGUGUUGCAUUGUAGCAAAAGCUUUUUCAUCAUCUACUGGCAUAAUCAUCUGAUAUGUUUUUCUCAUGAUUACAUAUGAUCCAACAUAAUAAUCCUAAAAUGAAUCCCACCUGGGGACAGUAUAUAAUCUGGGUGAGAGGACAGAGUAGUCUCUUUACAAAUAUUUGUAUGUAAACUUUUAAAAUCAGUGUUCAUUAGAGAUACUGACCUAUGGUUUCCUUUUUCUGUUUUUUUUAAAAAAUGUAUUUAAUUAAUUCAUUUAGAAUAUUUUUCCAGGGUUACAUGAUUCAUGUUCUUUUUCCCCCUCCCUGAGCUGACAAGUAAUUCCACUGGGUUAUACCUGUAUCAUUGUUCCAAAGCUAUUUCCAUAUGAUUACUAUUUGCAUUAGUGAUCAUUUAAAGUCAACAUCCCCAAUCCUAUCCCCAUUGAACCAUGUGAUCAAUCAUAUGCUUUUCUUCUGCGUUUCUGCUCCCACAGUUCUUUCUCUGGAUGUGGAGAGCAUCUUUCUCAUAAGUUCCUGUGGAUUGUCCUGAAUUGCUGCAUUGUUGUUAGUAGCAAAGUCUAUUAAGUUAGAUUGUGCUACAAUGUAUCUGUGUCUGUGUACAAUGUUCUCCUGGUUCUGCUCAUUUCACUCUGCAUCACUUCCUGGAGGUCCUUCCAGUUCACAUGGAAUCCCUCCAGUUCAUUAUUCCUUUGAGCACAGUAGUAUUCCAUCACCAACAGACACCACAAUGUGUUCAGCCAUUCCCCAAUCAAAGGGCAGCUCCCCAGUUUCCAAUGUUUUGAUGCCACAGAGUGUGGCUAUGAAUAUUUUUGAACAAGUAUUUUUCCUUAUUAUAUCUCUUUGGGGUACACACCCAGCAGUGUUAUGGCUGGAUCCAAGGGCAGACAGUCUUUUAUCCCCCUUUGAGUAUAGUCCCAAAUUGCCUUCCAGAAUGGUUGGAUUAAUUCACAACUCCACCAUCAGUGUAUUUGUGUCCCAAUUUGGCCACAUCCUAACACCUUUGCUGUCAUAUUGGCCAAUCUGCUAGGAUGCUAGGGAUUGAGUGAAGGGAGGGAAGAUGGCGGUAUAAAAAUGGAGAUUUGAACCCCAGACUUCCCAGAACCCCAGAAAAUGAAUCCCCAGAAGUGCUAGGCACUUUCCAGAAUGCCCUAUAAUAUCACCAGAGUUCUCACCUGGGCCGAGAACAAAAUGGGUAUUUAAACUGACUGUACCACCUACUCGCUCUCUCUGCUUCCACUUCUAAGCACACGCAGGCAAGAUGUAAGUGGCUGUGAAUGGGCUCUGUGCCUAGGCACGUGCUCUCUUAUUUUGUACUUUUGUUAUUUCUUAAUUCUAAUAAUCUUUAAUAAACCUCAUGAAAUAUAAUACUUUAGUAGAGAAACUAAUUUAAUUUUUACAGUUUGGUGACCAAAUGGGACAAAACUCUCAAUUAAAAAAAAAAAAAAGAUAGCCUAGAUAGUGAUUUUUAAGCCACAUUUCUUCAAGGCUUUUCAGAAAAGUCUCUUGAUCAGCUUGAGCCUGCACUCCUGAAAUCCGGACCUGUCUGACCCAGAAUCGCUUACCUGGUUCUGGCCCUGCUUGCCUGUGCUCCUGCCUGCAGCCAUCUGCUUUGGACCUGGUCUCGGCCCUGCCCACCCUACUCUUGGUCUGUCUCUUGCUCAACUGGCCCAGCUGAUCCCCCUCUGACCUCCGACCCAGAAGGCUGCUGGUAGCAGACCCAAUUUCUUCAGGAUCAAAAACCAGCUGGACAAGAUAUACAAAAGAGCCAUUGCACAGGGCCAAAGAUAAACCAUUUCAGGAUGGAUUGAUGUACUUCUAAGCCAAUACAAAGGACUUGAACCGAGCGUGAGACUCAAGGUUGCGACACUUAAUGUAGGCCUUUCUUGUAUCCACUCUCUUUGUGAAAAUACUUACAGAUGAAUAUCCCAAACUUGGCUCCUACUUGGCUCCUAUAAUCUAGUCCCUUUUUCUGUCUUUCAUAGUGUGGCAAAUUUUCUUUAGUCCUGGCUACUGACUGGGUAAAUGCUCACUUGCUUAUAUCAUUUUAAUUGGGCCCUGAUUCAAGGACUUGUUAUAGAUUUGUUUUUCCUUUACUUGGAAUUUUUACACAUAAGACUUUGAUAGUCUAUAUUUUCAUCCAGAAAUUAUCUUUUUUUUAUUUGGAUUUUUCUGAUGUUUUUUAAUUUCUCUUGACAAUUAAUUCAUAUAUCUCAUAACUCAGCCAUGCAUCCCUAAAUGAUCCCUGUGUUUUUCAAUCACCCUCUUCAUGGGGGAAUGUAAAAAAUAUUAUUUUAUAUUGCAAAGUUUAAAUUCCUUUUGAGAGUAAUUUUAGGUUAAGAAACUUGCUACCUCUCCGAAUCCAGAAAGUGAACUGUUUGGAGAAGAAACCAUGAAGAUGCCUCCAGACCACAAGCUGCACAAGAAGAUCAAGAAUGAAUUUUGGGUGUGGUUGAUUGAACAUUCAUUUGUAUGUAUACUGUCAUGCCAAAGGGGACUGCUCCCAAAAAGCUCCCUGGCUUUUUGUCAAUGCAUCUAACAGUUAUUGGUUUUGUUCUUCUCUUCAUCCUCAAAUUAUUGUAAUCUUUAAGUUGAUUAUGUUUUCAUGUUCCUUUUUGGGGAAACUUUUCCCAAUAAGAAUCAAAUGGCGGUAUGUAAAAAUGGAGAUUUGAACCCCAGACUUCAAUCCCCAGAAGUCCUUGGCACUUCCCAGAAUACCCUAUAAUAUCACUAGAGUCCUCACCUAGGCCGAGAACAAAAUGGGUAUUUAAACUGACUGUACCGCCUACUUGCUUUCUCUGCUUCCACUUCUAAACACACACAGGCAAGAUGUAAGUGGCUGUGAAUGGGCUCUGUGCCUAGGCACGUGCUCUCUUAUUUUGUACUUUUGUUAUUUCUUAAUUCUAAUAAUCUUUAAUAAACCUCAUGAAAUAUAA